GACGAACGCUGGCGGCGUGCUUAACACAUGCAAGUCGAACGGAAAGGCCCUGCUUUUGUGGGGUGCUCGAGUGGCGAACGGGUGAGUAACACGUGAGUAACCUGCCCUUGACUUUGGGAUAACUUCAGGAAACUGGGGCUAAUACCGGAUAGGAGCUCCUGCUGCAUGGUGGGGGUUGGAAAGUUUCGGCGGUUGGGGUUGUACUCGCGGCUUAUCGGCUUGUUGGUGGGGUAGUGCUUACCAAGGCUUUGACCGGUAGCCGGCCUGAGAGGGUGACCGGCCACAUUGGGACUGAGAUACGGCCCAGACUCCUACGGGAGGCAGCAGUGGGGAAUAUUGCACAAUGGGCGGAAGCCUGAUGCAGCAACGCCGCGUGCGGGAUGACGGCCUUCGGGUUGUAAACCGCUUUCGCCUGUGACGAAGCGUGAGUGACGGUAAUGGGUAAAGAAGCACCGGCUAACUACGUG
rnacentral:rRNA from 1 species